rnacentral:rRNA from 1 species
AUCCGGGUUGCGGACAGUGUCUGGUGGGUAGUUUGACUGGGGCGGUCUCCUCCUAAAGAGUAACGGAGGAGCACGAAGGUUGGCUAAUCCUGGUCGGACAUCAGGAGGUUAGUGCAAUGGCAUAAGCCAGCUUGACUGCGAGCGUGACGGCGCGAGCAGGUGCGAAAGCAGGUCAUAGUGAUCCGGUGGUUCUGAAUGGAAGGACCAUCGCUCAACGGAUAAAAGGUACUCCGGGGAUAACAGGCUGAUACCGCCCAAGAGUUCAUAUCGACGGCGGUGUUUGGCACCUCGAUGUCGGCUCAUCACAUCCUGGGGCUGAAGUAGAUCCCAAGGGUAUGGCUGUUCGCCAUUUAAAGUGGUACGCGAGCUGGGUUUAGAACGUCGUGAGACAGUUCGGUCCCUAUCUGCCGUGGGCGCUGGAGAACUGAGGGGGGCUGCUCCUAGUACGAGAGGACCGGAGUGGACGCAUCACUGGUGUUCGGGUUGUCAUGCCAAUGGCACUGCCCGGUAGCUAAAUGCGGAAGAGAUAAGUGCUGAAAGCAUCUAAGCACGAAACUUGCCCCGAGAUGAGUUCUCCCUGACCCUUUAAGGGUCCUGAAGGAACGUUGAAGACGACGACGUUGAUAGGCCGGGUGUGUAAGCGCAGCGAUGCGUUGAGCUAACCGGUACUAAUUAACCGUGAGGCUUAACCUUACAACGCCGAAGGUGUUU